GGUUAAUUCGCAUCUUUUAAGAGCUGACUUACCACCUUAACAUCACUUUUCUCCCAUUUACUUCUUUGGCAAUGUUCAUUUAGUAAAACGACAGGAAUUUUUCCAGUCCAAGAGCUUCCUCCUACUAACUGUUUGGCAGUAGGACGUGAAGUCGUUUGCAGGCCUGCUGUUUCCUGUUUAUUUUUUUCAAUUGGAUCAAGUGAGUUUUUCUUUUUCCCUUUGAUAUUUUUUUCCUUGUUUUUUGAAGUUUCUAAAUUAACCUCCGAUGAUUUUCCCUUUUUUCCUUUUGAACCCAUUCGAUGGUAAUAUGGUUGAACGCAAAGAAUUUUUAAGCCAGUGUGCUGAGUUGAUGAAUAAUUGAGAAAACUAAUUUAUCCAAGAAGGUAAUUCUUAUUCUAAGUCAAAGUUAAUUCCAUCAAAUUUUUGGUAAAAUAAAUACAUCACACAUGAAAGAAGAAGGUAUAUUGCGUUAUUGAAAAUCAGAAAGUUGGGUGUUUGAAUUUAAUUAUUGUGAAGCGUUGAAAGCGUUUAUUGAUUAUAUUUCUUUUAGGAUGUUUUUGCUAUUGAUUUAAACAUCCCCCGUACGUGUACUACAGCUGUCAACAUUGGUAAUAAGUACGCAGUUGGACAUACGCGUAUAAGAGCAUUUAGAAAUUUUUUUGAUCAGGAUUACCUUUUUCUUUUGCAAUUUUAACAAAUCAUGGCGCAAACAGGAAUAGUAAGAAGCAUUCUCAACGUCACUUUUGAGAAUAUGGAAUUCAAUUCGCAAAGUUUCAAGACAAAAUACCGGUUAUAUAAAUCCACAGCGUUUAAAGAAUGAUCGAUCAUUGAGACGUAUGAGUGUUUCAGAUGAUGAUGAGUUUCCUGUCUUCGAGCAAAUCCUUAAAGAGACCUUACUUUUUCUGGCUCACUUAUAAACAGACUUACAUCUUCGUUUGAAUUGAAUAAUAUUCAUUAGCACUAGCAAAGGUUCAUAAUUUAUGGAGCAAUGUUGACCUGGGGAUUUUGACAAUUCGCUAAAUUCUCCACAGGAUCAAAGGAUUAAAGCGUUUACUUCAAAUCUGUACUGUAUAAACUGGGGAAAUAUCCGUGCAAGCGUCUUAAGGGCUGAAAAUUUAAGAGGUAUUUUUUACCAUAUAUGGUUGACUAGUCUCCCAACUAGAUCCUAAUUACUAUAAUUUCCCUUUAAGUUUAUAAAAUAAAAAGCUAAAAAUCCUUUACAAAUUUCUUCCAGCGUAUCAUUCAGGUUUUCU